ACACAGCCUGAAUACAGACUUUCUGCUCUUACCUAGGUAUGAGAUCAGGAAGAGGAGAUGUGCUUCCUGAGAAAAAGUGACUGGAUUUGUUCUGGGCUUCCUGUGGGAUUCUGGGAGAAAAAUGAAAAGGCUUUGCUGCUUUAUGAGGAAGGUGCCCAGGAAGUUUCCAGCUGUGACAAUUUGCAGGGGAACCAUGAGACAUCCCAAUGGAGAGAGUCCCACAUGUCAGGAGGUGUUUGGAGGUGACCCAGGGCAGAAGGCAACCAAGUGGACUCUGACUCAAGGAGCUGCUGCUGGGUGGACUUCAACUUUGUCUUGAUGUGGAGGAGAGCAGGAAUGCUGUCAAUGCCAGUCAUCAGUCUUUCUGGUACAGACUCCAGGCAUUAUUGGUUUGGGCCCCAAAGUUUUUUGCAAAGUAAGUGGCUCUACUGAGGUGACCCUGUGGGCGGGUGCCUUGCUCUGCCCCCCUUCCUCUUUGGCUGGAUGGCUCCUUGCAUGUCCCAGCCAGCCAAGCCUGCCGUGCAAAGCUGCCGUCUCCAGCCCUGUGCACAGAGCACCGUGUGAACAACAGGCUCUGAGCGUGCUGCAUCACAGCCUCCAGUGCAAAGGUGGCCCCAGGGCACUUCCCAUGGAUUUUCCACCCACAGGUGCCACCACCCUUCCGGAAGGAAGCAGUCAGCCUUGUUUUGAGCAGCUGCCUUGCAAAUGCAUCCUCUCUAGCACGCAGCUGCCUGACCCAGGACAAAGCAACCUGUGGCCUCAAGGAGUGAAACACAGCGUUGAAAACUGGAAGUGCUGCACACAGAGCAAGUGAUGCUCUCCACUAGCUCCUGUGACAACCACAUUUCUGCUUAUCAGUCUUUGUCAGGAGCAGGAACGAUCUCUAUAGUUUCUUUUCCUGCCUGGUGCUGCCUUUGCAUUUGCUGCGGAGCAGAAAUUCAAGGAGAUGGAUGGAGACCUUGGUCUGCUUUGUGGAAAUACUUCUAGUGUUUUCAGGUUAGGUAAAGGUCUUUCACUGAGAAAUCCUACCUGCUGACCCCAAAGUCCGUGAGAUCCUCUCAGAUUUUUUGCCAGCAUUCCUCAUACUUUUGUGUUGCUUCAAACAGGAAACAAUGCUCUUGGAAAAGCUUCUAGCAGCUCCGGAACGGGUCCCUGGAAACUUAGUGAGCUAGCUGCAAUGCAGAGCUCAGAAGUGCUCUUUCCACAUGUGCUACCUCUUGGAAGCCAAGGAGGGAUUCCUAGGGCCAGGAAGAGAGAGUGUAUGCCACCAUGUGGCAGCAGAUUCCCAAGUGUGGCGCUCAGGACAGCUUCAGGCGGGCCCAGCUCAUAGCUCAGGCUGGAGGAGGCCUGGCCCUCGUAGGCAGAACUUCAGCAAGGAGUUAUGACCUUCUGUGCAUGGACAGGGAGGUGCUGUACAGGCACUCUGUACCAUCUCCAAAGGCACCAGCCACCCCCUCCGUGAAGAGGAAAUGUGUCUAAGAGGCUAGACCAUGCUGGCAGACCUCCAAGGCCUUGUGCUGAUUUGCUCUGGUGGAGACUCCAACCUGUUGUUGCUGUCUGGGAAAACCAGAUCCGUGUGUCCUUGAGAAGAGCACAUAGAAGAUCAGAGUGGGGACUGGUGAAAAAUGGACCAGAUCUGCCCCUUCUGCUUCCCUCUAUGCUUGUGCAGGGUAGAGCAAAGAAUCGACUCAGGAGGCAGGGUGGGCCUGUGCAAAUGAGAUGCAGCACAGAGGAGGAGGAGGCAGAGGACGAGGAGGAAGGAUAUGGGAUCUUCAGUAUCAGGAUGGAAAUGUGGAACCUCAACUUUCAAAGGUCAUCCAGUUGGGCUCACACUGCGUCUCACACUGGCUGGAGAAACAGGUCUUCAUACACAGCAACAAACACUCAAACAAAUCAAGAAGCAUUUAAAAAUAUUGUCCUGCCUGCCUGCUCCAGAUGAGUUUUGUAGUGAAUCUGGACAUGUCUUUUUCCUGGAGUCCUGUGGUCCCAUUAUGCUGCCCACGAGCUGCAUGGGAUCAGGGCUUGGCACCAUGGGUCACCAGAGACAGUCACCUUAAUCAGCUUAAACCACAGCUUGACUCAGGCCUCAAACUGUGCCACCCAUCCCAAGGGAAGGUCUCUGAAACAGAGAGUGACCACCCUGAAAAUUCCUCCUGUGGUCACUUUUGUAAAGUCCUGCUCAGCUCAGAGAGGGAUGGGGAAAGAAGUUAGUGGCAUUCUGUCUCUAAAAAGCAGAAUGUUUCUUCUGUGAUUCAUUUUGUCUGGGGAUUUGGCCUGUUUUGCUAAUUUGUGGGAAGCCAGUUCAGCAGAAUUGGUAACCAUUUGUUUGCUGAUGCCACCUUUGGGAUGGAAGGUUGUUGCCUUCCACCUGGGAGACGUGGAGGAUACUAUUACCAACACAGAUUGGGGCACAGCAUCAUUUCCUCCACAAUGUCCUUGGAGAUGUGCAGAGUUGGGCCUCUUGUGUCUCUGGGGCUAGUCUGGCCAAUUUUUUAUUUCUUUCUUUGAAAGGGCAAUAAACACCUUUGGACCGCCCCAUGGAGGACUGAGUUGUAGCACAUUGUCCUCAGUUUGCCUUCUGCUCCCACUGCCUGUUGUCUUUGCUCCUUUGUGGCAUGUGUGAGGAUGGAUAUGUCUGUCCCAAAAAAUUGUCUGCAGUCAUUUUGCAGUCCCUUUGACAUCUGACAGACCACUUGUGGCCCACAGACCACAGGCUGAGAAACACUGUGUGGGGUGAUGUCUACUGAGUUGCCUCCCAGAACUCAGGUUCUUUCAAACACAUAAAAAGAAGCAGUUUCAGUCCCGGAAAAGACAUUGUCUUGGGCAGACAAGCAUGGGGGAGGCAAGGGCAAGGACACUCCAACCACCCAGCUGGUCCUCUAGCCCAGGGACCUGACUCUCCCAGAGUUACUGUCUGAGCAGUCCAGGUGAAGAUUUAGGGGGUCCCACUUGCAGCUGUGCUGUGAUGUGAGAUGAGGAUGCUGGCAAAGGGCAGGCAGGUAGGGAGGCACAGUGUGUGUGGGUCUGUGGUGGGAGGGAGCAGAGGGGGAGGAGGGAGCUCCGCCAGCCCCACCACACUCCAGCAAUCAAAGCCCAGCCUCUGUAAUUAAUACUAUUUAGCUCAGGUUAGUAGCAGAGGAAAAUGUCUCUUGUCAGCCUGGCUUUGCCUACUGGCCCUGAUUUAGCAACAUGAAAGCAUUUUUUCUGAUUAACUGUUCACUGAAGGAGAUAAAAGAGAUGACCAUGAAAUGUUUUCUUUAAUGUGAUGAAUGUAAAGGGACUGGUAGAGCUGGAAAGGGUGAGAGGAGAGAAGAGAGAAUGCUCCAACAGCAGAUGGGGCUGGGGUGGGAAAAGGGUGUAGGGCAGAGCUGGGGGGCUGGGAUGGAGGGGGCUGUGAGGCAGGGGCAGAACUGGGGGGUGUUCAGGACUAGGCUGGCAGGGGCCCUAGGAUUGGGAAUGAGUGGAUAACUAGGACGGAGGCAGUAGUAACUGAAACAUUUCUGAAAAGAGAGCUGUGGUAGCAACUGUAAUUGUUACAGAUGUAUAUACAGAUAGAUAUGUGUAUAUGCAUGAGGUUUUUUAAGGCUUUUAUGAAGUUGCAAUCUGAAUGCCAAAUUUCACUGCUUGUCUCUACUACUAAGCUAAAAAAAUGUUGGUAGCUAGGAGACAAAGUGAAGUAGUAAAGCUCGAUUUCUAACAUGAUGUGGUUAGGAUAUUUUGGGGAACAGUGAUGCUGCUCCUACUUUGUAAAACCAUAGCAGGGGGUUGAAAAGCUAUAUUUAAAAGCUAAACACAGUUCCCUACCAUCCUUUAAAAGAGAUUUCACUGUCAUGUAGUCCAAGCUGGCCUUCGAUGGCUUUUAAUGUGCUUUUUAACUAUGUGCUGUUGACAGCUUACAUUUUAAACUUUUCUCAAGAUGGACAAUGAAGUUGGUCUGACCCACUCAAGAUUAGUUUCUGGUUUCUGUGUGUUGGGUGGGAAUAGGGUGGGUACUUGCCAGAAUGAAUAAAUACUAAUUUGGAAGAGAGAGGGAGAAAAUACAAAGAGCAUCCCCAGUCAAGUUAGUUCUUGCAGAAAAAGAUUUUGCCCUGAAGUUUUUAUGUAUUUCAGGAUAGAAAGGGAGAGUGUGUAAAAUAUGAUGAUUUCAACUGAGAGGUUCUUAUUGAAAGGUAAUUGUGCACAAGGCAGAGAAUGAAAAUCCUUAUAGAUAAGUACCCAGUCCCAAAAACUGAUGUGUCUUGUGCAAGCUGAAGGUGCUAAAGGGGAUGUAACUUUACAGGCAAGCCAGCAGUCAUUAUCUCCCCAGGAUGUGCAGUGAGGGGCUCAGACAUGCACAAAGGCAUCGGCUGUGUUCAACAUUAGGUUGGCUGGUCCGUAAGCAGAUCGGAUGUCCUCACACCAAGCUCCCCUUUUGAGUCAGCUCAGCUUCUCUCCCAGAGGUCACAGGAGACACAGGAAAGGUCCCUGAGCAGGCAAUGGAAACACUGAAAGGGAGGUGAGGCUUGAAUGCAGAUAAGAGGAGUGAAAACUAAUUGAUCUGAAAAAGCACUGUCAUUGUGGGGUAUAAAAUAAUGACUGGGAAGUCCCUUUUAUUUACUGAGAGGCAAUAAUAGCAGAGGGCAGAUGAUAACACUGAAAGGGUGACAUUUUCGGGCUCUUUAAUCUAGGAGAAAGAGGCAUAACAAGCAACAGGGGUUGCAGUUUCAAGCCUGGCAAAUGUAAAUAAGAAAUGAGACAUGUUGCACAGGGAGUGCUGGCACACAUUGAAACAGAGUAUGUGUGGAGGUUGUGUGGGGCUCACCAUCUCUUAAUGGCUUGGUGUCCAGACAGGCUGAUUUUCUGGGAGAUAAAAACAAGUUACUGAGCUCAAUUGCAGUGAUGGCUGAAAUUCAGUGGUGGAGCAUUAGUCAGGCUAAGAAUUCCUGCCUUUUCUUCAUUCAGACGGACACUUGACUGAAAAAUACCAUACUCACCCAAGCACCUCUCCCACAGGGACUGUCCCAGAGUGGUGGUGAGUACAGUCACCUUCUUAAGGGGCUGUGAUGUUUGCAUGGCCAAGAAAAGAGUGCAUGCCUUUAUUGCCUGGGGGAAAGUGGGAUUAGUCUGUGUGGAAGCAGCUGCAGGCAGUGGUCUUUGAGUGGAAGCCUGAGGCCAGGAGGAGUGAAUGGCCAGGAGGAGGUAUUGUCUGCAGGAACAUGCCCACUGCCACACACAUGGAGCUGGGACAGCCACUCUGAGAUGGGCGAUCCCUCUGACAGCUGUACUGACAGCCUGCCUUCCUGGGAAGACAAAAUGCUUGAGCCUCUGCACCCCAUAUGUGCUCCCACCAGCUUGUGCCAGGUCUGGUCAGAGACACCAUCCCCACUCCCUGGGAAGCCUUUCUGUGAAGGCUCUGCAAACAUUUCAGGACAAUCCUCUGCAUCCUUUCUUUCCCCAGCUCAGAAAUGUUUCCAAGGCUCAUCCAUUGCAUCCAAGUGCGUGUUUCCCUCAGACCUUUCAGGAUCCCCUCCUGUUGCGUGCCCCUAGGGCAGAGCCCUCCAUGUGCUCCCUUGUCUAGCCAUGCCUCUGUUCCCAAAAUCUCUACUUCUGUGAAAAUCUCUAUUUCUGUAGGUUCAGGGGGUAAUGUGCUGUGACCCAUCCUGCUAAUCUGCAAGCAGCUGCCCAGGCUGCCAGCACAUCCCAAGGUUUUGGGGUAAGGGAAGUCCAUGCCAAAAGCCCUACCUUGCCUCUGGCAUGCAGAGUGGGUCAAGUAGUGCACAGGAAGUAAAAAAACACCUGCCAGUGAUGACUAAAUAAAAAUGUUUUCCCAGAAAGUGGCAAAUGUCUCAGCCUGGAGUCCAUCAUUGUAAAUAAUUUUUGUUGUAAAAGCAAACAAACAAAUUGGUGGAAGUCUCCCGGCAGCAGGUGCUGGCUCCAUGUGAAAUCCAGCCUCACAGCCCAUGGUUCACAGUUGUCUGUUUAUUCUAGCUGCUAUUUAUAGCUGGUCAAACCUUUCCAUCCUUCUUCAUGUUUCCUACUUGCUCUAUCUUACUAAUUAAUGUAUUUACUGUCAGUAUUUUAAUAAAACAAACAAAAAAAUAAUGAAAAAUAUUGCCUGUGGCCAGGGUGCUGCUGGUUUGAGGUGUUUGAGAGGACACAGGCCAGCUGGGGAAGCCUGUGCUGUAAUGGAUGUUGGAGAAAGGCUGAGAUGGGAAAAGAGGUAGUGUACAUCUAAAGCAUGGCACUGACCUCAAGUAUGAUAGGGCUAGGUCUGUCUUCCUGGUGUGAACCACAGUAUUUUCACUGGCUUUUUCUGCACCACCCAUCAUUUUGUGCCAGCUGUGGUCCCUGGUCCCAGCUAGGGCAGCCCCUGUUCCAGCUGUGGGCCCCUGGCUUGAAGGCAUGACGAUGUGGGGAAAUGAUCAUUGUGUGGGUCCAAGGGGAAGCUGUUUAACAAAGAGACUGGCUGGCUGUGGUUAUGGAGAAGUUUGGCUGGGACACGGAUGUUGCAGACGAUUGCAGGCUGGUGGCUGUGGCUGCUUGGUGAAGGUAGACAGUGACUCCACAGCUGAAACCACUCUGGAAACCUGACAGAGGAGCAUCCUGAAAUCUUCGGGAUAGGUGACACCAGCCAACAUGGAAUAAUGAAUUGAACAAGAAGCGAACAAAAAACCACGUGCCACUGAGCCUCACUUCAUCAUCCACUCUUUUGCACGUGUCCUUUGUACUGCUGCUACACGAGCCAUGACUGCAGCCACCUCGCUGUGUCAGCUUCACAUUUUUCUCCUGUAGGCUUGUAUUUCCUUACUUACAUGCAAGUUUAAGCACUGCUUUAUAGCCUCAAGCAGACACCAAUCAUGUGCUUCUUGCUUAUUUAAAUUCAUUUUACCUGCCAACACAGCACAAGAUUCUGUAUAAUAUGGCUAUAACUGAGCUCCUGCUUUGUGAGUUGGUGUUUUGGUCUGUGUCAUGAACUACGUAGGUCUCAUUGGCCUUAAAAUUCAAAAAAUGAUCACCCAUGCUGACACUGUCUUUCUGAAAAGGACAGUUUCUUUCAUUUCAUGUUGGGUCAUUUAGGCAGUAGCUCUAAACCUGACACUUCUCUUUCUUGAGUUGUGCAUGAUAAACACUUCUGGAUUUUUGAACAAGUGGGAUUUGCACCCCUUUGUGGAAGGAGUGUGGUUCACCUGGUUGUUGCAUGAGUGGAUAUUUUCUCAUGUAGAGAAGAUGAUAUUGCAGAAGAAGAAGGUCCACAGAUUCAGCAGAAGACAGGUCCACAGCCUAAAAUAUCUCUGAUCCCCUAAGAUAUCUCUGUUCUCCCUCAGAAUCUCCAUGUCUGGAGAGUGGGGAGAGCCUUGCUGUGAGAUGAUGAAAGUGGUGCAUGCCUCUGCUCCCAGGAAAAAAAAAACCCAGGCAGCUAAGUGGAUUAGGUAUAAAGUGUGGAUAGAAAAAGCUCAGGUAAUUUUUCUUUUUUAAGCAGUUGCCUACCCAGGAUGCAAAUUCUGAACCAUCUAAAAAGGCCAGCUGUGAUCACAAAUGUUUAUAAAAAUAAGUUAUGGGAUGUGUUUUGUUAAUCUUAGGAUGUCUUCACUAAAUUAAUUUAUUACAUAUUUUUACACUGGAUAAUUUUCAGGCUUUUUUUUUUUUUUUUUUUAAACAGGGCUGCUAAUAGGAUGGGACUGAAUUGUUAGCAGUCUCAGGCACUGUCCAAUGAUUCACCAAAGCAUUUCACUUGUACUACAGCUGAUAUUUGUGUGACAUUCAGCGUGCCAGACUGGAACAUUCAAUAUUUGGGACUUGUAUUCCUCCCAGACAGAAAGGCGCUUAGGAGAGGCUUCAGUCUACCUCUGGGCUCCUUUCUUUAACAAAAAUCUGAUUAAGUUAAUUAUGUUUUGUGGGAAAAAGAAGAAUAGAAAAAACAUCAUAUGAGAUGUUGGUGAAAAGAAAUAGAAAAAGCUUUCUGAGCAAAAGGCUUGAAACAAUGGAUUCAUGCCAUCUUAGCUGUUUUACCUUUCCUACUGGCUGAGCUGUGAUUUACAUUUCUGUUGAUGAAACAGUGAUCCUGAUGUGAAACAGCUCUGCAAAUAACCAGAGCAAAAUCUAUGCAUCCCUUCUCAAUAUUCCAGCUCAAUAUUUUAGUGGAAUGAAAAACUGAAGAAAAAGAUGUUUUUAAUUGAUAUUUUCUUUGGAAACUGGGCAAUGGGGCUAUUUCAUCAGAAUUGCCUUGGCAGAUAUAGUAGAGCACAGUGUGGAUGCUCCAGGAGGGUAGGCUCUUUCUGCAGAACACCACCCCACAUUCCAUCUUUCUCACCUAAGCAAUUUUUGUAAUGCCAAAUGCCUUUUCUGACAAGAUUUACAGGGGUCUUAAAGAAUCUUAUCAAAGAUCAGAUUGGAUAAAGGUCUAAUGGCCCUUCCUCCAUCCGGUACAGAAGGGAGUUAACAGCAUAACAAUGCGAGAAUGUUUAGCAGUUUGUGCAAUUGCACAAAUGUUUAUUUUAUUCCUAGAAAUAGGAAUCAAAAAGGGCUUUAUGAGUCUGACAGAUUGCCCCAUUCUACACUGUCAGUUACUCAUUUCAAUUCCAGCUGCAACAUGUUUGAUGUGCCUGUGAACCCAAAUCAAAGCAGUGAACAUCUUCCUAAAUAUUUCUGUAACAAAACCUACUCAAUAGACUAAAUUAUCUACAGAAGGAGUCCUACAGGAAGCACCUGCACUUUGGUAUUUAGUUCAGCACUGUGUUAUCUAAUGCUGCUGACCUGUUCUGUGAUCUUGAAAAAAAAAAGCUUUUUUAUUUGUUUCCUCUCAGAUCCCAUCACUCUUUUGUCUCCUUACAUGCUGAGUGCUUCAUGGCAGAUUCUGUCUCAUCCCCUUUGUUUGUGGGAGGCUCUGUGUGGCUCAGUCAAAGCAUAGAGAGUGCUUGUCACCUGGACAGAACAGUGGAGAGGUCUGUCUGAUUAGCCCCCUUGUCUGUUGUGGCACAAGACCAUUUUAUGGUGUUGUAAAAGUUGAUGAUGUGAGCGAAGAGAUCAGACCUCACCUUGGGAUGCUGCUGCAGUUCCUGGUUGCUGGCACAGUAAUGCAGAAAUGCAGAAGAAUUUCCUGCUGAUGGCCUGAACUAGAGGCAAUAUAAAGCAGCUUGAAGGAAGAUUUGUUUAAUUCCAGCUUCAGAGACCCAGGAGGUAUUUUUAUCGAAAGAGGAGCACCAGCAUGGUCCCCUGUAAAGGUGCAGGUGCUGCUCUGAGGCAUGAGCUCCAUCCAGUAAGCAAAGUUAAACCUAUGGAGAGCAGCAGAGUUAAGGAAGCCUAGCUUAUAAUGGCUGCACUGCAGUGCUGGAACUCCCCAUGCUUCCCAUACUUACUCUUACAAUACCCUCCAGUCCCCUUCAAAUCCUCUCCCAGGCUGUGUAGCAGGCAGCAAAGGCUUGGACACCAGACUCAUCAGGGACCCUUUGAUGCCUGAUGGGGAGCCUAUCAGGGGUGCCACCCCCAUCCGUGUGCCUGCAGCACAUCAGCAGAGCACUUUCCAACCACAAGGACUACUCUGAGGAGACGAUGUCUUGGGCUGACACAUCUUGCACUGAAGGCAAGCAGUUCAUCAGAAGAGAGAGGAGGGAGUUUCGUACCUCAAGUUUCAAGAUAUUCAGAGCUGUAAAUGAAAGAAGAGCAUAUGAAAAAGAAAGACAGUUUUCUGUAGCUUGGAUCAGUCUGAGCUGUUAAGACUCCAGUUUGUACAACACUUCAGUCCUGGAGUAUUUAGGCUUUUUAUGUAACCUGGCUUUGGGCUGUUCUUUGCAUGGGGCUUCUUACAGUUGCCGGACCGAAAACGUGGUGGCAUGUAGUAUUCCUCUGAAAGUUUAAUGGGGAUAAAAACCAUAUGAAGGUAAUGAGAUAAAAAUCUCAUGACAUCUGUUUGCACUUUUAAAAAUUGCACAAAAACUGAAAGCAUGCAAAUAAGCUCAGCAUUUGAUGAGUGGAGAGCAGUCUUCUCUCUGCUUGUGUGUCAGCCUGGAGCUGCUAAUGACUAGACAGGCUGUAACUGCAGCUAAGAGAAAGCCACAAGAAAACAGCACUUGACUAAUAAAGCAGAAUGCCAGCUUUCCAUAUUGCUGGAGUCCCCAGACAGGUGAGGUAUGACAGUCUUGAGCAGUCCUGAGAACUGCUGAUUCCACCAAGCUGGCUCAACACAAAGCCCACAGUGACUCUGGAGCAAUCUUUUGCCUCUCUUUCAAACUACUCUGAUACUAUCUAACCCUCUUCCUACACCCUGAAGGUCCAGGUGCUAUUCCAGGCUGUCACUACGACACCCAGGCCAUCCCCAGACUUGUAGCUGGUGGAAUCAGGCAAUCAAAAGCAGAAUGCUUCAGGUUUCUCUACAGGUGCUGCAGACGUUAAAGCAUGGGAGGUCAUGGCAGGUGUAGGAGCCAAAGCCUGAAACUGUGCUUGCAGCACCAGAGAAAAAAAGAAAGAAGACCACUGGAAAUACACACAUGGAAUGAAUCCCUCUUGCCAGUCUAUGUCCAACAGUGGCCAGCACCAGGUUUCCUAGAAGAGAUGUCAGGGCUUGGAGGGCCCAAGUGUGGAGUAAGCAUAUUUCUGCUCUUCAUUCUCUGUCAUGGGUGUACCUGCCAGCUAAGCAGUUCAGUCAAUGAGCAGCCAAAGCCAGGUCCUGGAGCAGGAUAACUCAUACUCCUUCUGACAAGUGGUCAUUAUUUGCAGUAUUUCUGAGCCUUGCUGACUGUCUUCAAAAUUGUAGAAGUUGGCCUGAUGGUACAGAGAUAACUGAAGUCAGACAUUCCCCUGCUCCCUGAGAGGGAAACUCCCUAGGCCAACUCUCAGAAGCCAGUAACAAGAAUGAGAAGAAAAAUUGCAUAACUUAUUGUUAUUUGCAAUGGCCCUGUGCCUUCUAGCUACCCAGGCCCUUUCUGAGUACUGCUGAGUUUAUGGCUGGUGUUAAAAUAUGUGUAUUCCACUGGAAUUCCCCAUUCUUUAACUUUUUUCCUCCAUCACUUUUGUGCUUAUGAGGGAAAAAGGCAGGUGUUCCCAGCUGUCCCUUUUGAGACCACUGGCACACUCAUAUUGAUGACUCCCUUUCUCCUUCCUGAGGCAAUGUUCAUCCUGGAAUGCUCAGGGUCUUGCCACUAUCACUGUGUUAUCUCCCAUAGGGGUGGGUAAUAAGACCUGUGGCUCAUAGCAGCCUUUUACAAAGGUGUUGGGACCUCAGCAGUGGUUACAUGAAUCAUGGUUACAAUGCCAGCCUCCUCCCUGAGCAUUGCUGCAUAUCACCUGGAGCCCCCUAAAGUCCAUGCAUCAGACAAGAGCUCCAGGGUACCAUUACUUGUUUUCAUCACUCUGACUUUCUCUUCUAAAGGGGAUCCCUCUUCACUGAACCACUGAGGAGUGACUCCCCAAGCUUUGUCAAGUCCUUUCUUAUCCAGGAGGCAUUUGCAUUGCUUUUAUUUCAUUAUGCAUCUUCCUUACCUCAUUACACAUCCUUCUUGUAUUAUUGUACAUCUUCCUUUCUAGAUCAUUAAAGCAGUCAGGACAUGGCAGUGAAGAAGGGCUGACCAGUGAGGGAGCCUUGCCAGGGAGGAAUAUGGAAUGAAGGAUGAGUAUUAUCAGGUUUGGGUGCAAGCACGUCAAGCUCCGGGAUCAGGGAAAUUCAGUAUUGUAUAAUGUAAGGGAUCUCAAGAUGCUAAAAAGACAGACUUGCCACCAAAUGCAACAGUGCAGAUUUGUAGAAAAGCCUGGAUGAUGAGUGGUCAGAAAUCCCAACAACCCCACACAGUUCCACUUGAUAGAUCUACCAGCCUCUGCCUUUGACUUCAGGGAUUUACGAAGGGAAUUUGAAAAACACACACUAUAUCCCAUUAAUU